rnacentral:lncRNA from 1 species
CACCGGCACUCUGGCCUCGCUCAUUGUCAGCUCUUCAGAGCUUUUCCUGGGCUACUUCUUAGCGGCUCUGUUUUCUGGGAACCCUUCUGGUAGACAAUGGGGAAACAGAGAGGAACGGAUCCAGUCUACUUCUGGCGCUGAGAAAAGCCUUCCCCUGAAAAACCUAUGAAGCUGAUCAGAGAAGCAAGAUGAUCGACUCACCUGUGUGAACGGUCGAUUUCUGAGUUCCUACAUUUCUGCUGAACAUUAUAACAGGUAAUGCCUGCCUUUGAGGUGGUUCAUAAAAAGCCGUGUCUACGCAGGUAGGACAACUGCAGUAAAUCGCUAGCAGCAUUCUACCGCAGGAGGUUGGCUCAAAAGUGUUUAUGUUUACGGUUAUACAGAAAGAAUGUGCCAGGGAGUUGUGGCUAAGAGUGUGUCGUGCUCUUCCAGAGGACCUGCGUUUGAUUCCAAGCACUUACACUCGAGCCUGGCGAACAUGGCUUUGGCAGGCCUUGCCCUUCUCCUCCAUUCCCCCUGUCUUGCUAAAGCCCCUUAGAUUAUAUUCCUGAAGCUAGCCACCAGAUCCAUUCCCUUAUUUGGCCACUUCCUCCUCCUUAGGCUGAAUACCAAAGUCCAGCUUCAAAUGCAUUGAAGUUGAGCAAUCAAAAGCCACCUUUGGCUCACAUAAUUAACACAUCAAAUUAAAAUUAAACACCUCAUCUUAACAGGGCUUUUCCCCUUUUACUGUUAUAACCCGCCAUUUUCCUACAGGCCAUGCCUGUCUCCUCUAUCCAGAGGCAGUCAUUUGUCCUAGGGACAAAUACUGUCCCCCCUCUCCCUUGUUCCCUUCCCCUCUCCCUCUUCCUCAAUCUCCCAUCAUUGUUAUUUCC